rnacentral:rRNA from 1 species
AAACUAGGAUUAGAUACCCUAUUAUGCUUAGCCCUAAACAUCGAUUGCACCAUACACUCCAUAUCCGCCCGGGAAUUAUGAACGUCAGUUUAAAACCCAAAGGACUUGGCGGUGCUUAACAUCCACCUAGAGGAGCCUGUUCUAGAACCGAUAACCCCCGUUAAACCUCACCCUCUCUUGUUUUAUCCGCCUAUAUACCGCCGUCGUC